rnacentral:pre_miRNA from 2 species
UCAUGCUGGGAUGCCCAAAAUAGAGGCGCUUUUCUUUUGUCUGUAGUGGAAAGUGCUUCCAUUUUGGGGAAUUCCUGUGUGA